UUUACUAGUAGUAAUGAAAAGAAUUACUCCAGAGUUAACAGAAAAUCAUAUCUUAUCUAGUUCUUAUAGUAAGAUAAGUUUUACAUCGAUGUUGUAUUUUAUUUUUGAAAGGGGUAGAAGAUUUUUGAAUUAGAGACUGUUCUUCUUGAGAUAAAUAAA
rnacentral:rRNA from 1 species